ensembl:miRNA mdo-mir-12317 mdo-mir-12317
ACUUAGCUUGGAAGUGUUGGAGGUCAGAUUUGAACUCAGGACCUCCCAUCUCCAGGCUUGGCAU